GAUGAACGCUGGCGGCGUGCCUAAUACAUGCAAGUCGAGCGAAUGGAUUAAGAGCUUGCUCUUAUGAAGUUAGCGGCGGACGGGUGAGUAACACGUGGGUAACCUGCCCAUAAGACUGGGAUAACUCCGGGAAACCGGGGCUAAUACCGGAUAACAUUUUGAACUGCAUGGUUCGAAAUUGAAAGGCGGCUUCGGCUGUCACUUAUGGAUGGACCCGCGUCGCAUUAGCUAGUUGGUGAGGUAACGGCUCACCAAGGCAACGAUGCGUAGCCGACCUGAGAGGGUGAUCGGCCACACUGGGACUGAGACACGGCCCAGACUCCUACGGGAGGCAGCAGUAGGGAAUCUUCCGCAAUGGACGAAAGUCUGACGGAGCAACGCCGCGUGAGUGAUGAAGGCUUUCGGGUCGUAAAACUCUGUUGUUAGGGAAGAACAAGUGCUAGUUGAAUAAG
rnacentral:rRNA from 1 species